AUUUCUCCAACUACAGAAAUUUUCUUUUAGAGAACAUUACAAAUUCUCAAAAUAAGGAAACAAUGAAAAGAAAGAAGACAAACAACCAAAAUAGAUAUCGUGAAACUUUUCUCUGAAUGGAUUUAAUAUGUAACCAAUCUGAAUGCGAGCCUGCAGCAGGCGUAACCUUUUCAACACUGUUCCCAAUGUUCGAGUCUGCGCCCAUACAUUAAACACCCAUGCACAUCAACCUAUCACCAGCUCGUACCAGCAACCCUAACGGCGCUUGCGUUUGCAACUGUUUCCAUAUCGUGUAAUGCUGCCGUAUUGGUCGACACUGUCUCACUAAGGGUUGCUAACCACGCCCAUUUUACCCUCUAGAAACAUAGCGCGUUGAUACAUGCGUUUAUCGUACACGUGACUUUCUUAAAAACAACUGGUUUUCAUUUCAAUUACAUUAGGUAUAAACGAUGUAUUAUUAUCGGUGAUUAACUGAAAAAUGUUUGAGUCGAUAACAAGUGUGAAAAAUAACUUCAAGCAUAUAACUUAUACAUUAUAUAAUUUUUGUUUGCAAUAGAUCGAUCGACAGGAGAUUUCCGGAGAAAUUGCGUACUACGUAGAUAUGUAUAUCUUGGAAACUAUAACAAGUUGGAGCAAUAUUUCAGUUUGCAAAGAUCUGACACAAUUUUUUGGAGCGCCUGCGCUAAUAUUAUAAUACGGUUUGCAUAAAGUUUGGUAACUUCAUUAGUUAGACAUUUUAUUACCGAGAAAUGCAAGAAAGUUGAAAGUAAAACAAUCUUGUCUUUCUGUUUGAAUCAAAAUUACCGAAGGAUAUCUGGCUUAUAAAUGACCACAAUAAUGUACAUUAAAAUAUCUAAUAUUAAAAUGUACAUAUAUUUUACUUUUAUUCAA